rnacentral:rRNA from 1 species
CGUACACUCCUACGGGAGGCAGCAGUGGGGAAUAUUGGACAAUGGGCGCAAGCCUGAUCCAGCCAUGCCGCGUGAGUGAUGAAGGCCCUAGGGUUGUAAAGCUCUUUCACCGGUGAAGAUAAUGACGGUAACCGGAGAAGAAGCCCCGGCUAACUUCGUGCCAGCAGCCGCGGUAAUACGAAGGGGGCUAGCGUUGUUCGGAUUUACUGGGCGUAAAGCGCACGUAGGCGGACUAUUAAGUCAGGGGUGAAAUCCCGGGGCUCAACCCCGGAACUGCCUUUGAUACUGGUAGUCUUGAGUUCGAGAGAGGUGAGUGGAAUUCCGAGUGUAGAGGUGAAAUUCGUAGAUAUUCGGAGGAACACCAGUGGCGAAGGCGGCUCACUGGCUCGAUACUGACGCUGAGGUGCGAAAGCGUGGGGAGCAAACAGGAUUAGAAACCCUUGUAGUCCC